rnacentral:rRNA from 1 species
UGCGCAGGCGGGCUUGUAAGUCAGUGGUGAAAUACUGCCGCUCAACGGUAGAACUGCCAUUGAUACUGCAAGUCUUGAAUAUGGUUGAGGUAGGCGGAAUGUGUCGUGUAGCGGUGAAAUGCAUAGAUAUGACACAGAACGCCAAUUGCGAAGGCAGCUUACUAAGCCAUUAUUGACGCUGAGGCACGAAAGCGUGGGGAGCGAACAGGAUUAAAUACCCUGGUAGUC